rnacentral:lncRNA from 13 species
GUUUAAUUGAAGAUAUUGGUACAUUAUGCAGACACAUAAAUACAAUGUGAUAUCAUACAAUAUAAACACAAUUCAAUUACAUGAUCAGCCUAACUACAUGGACAGAUGUUUGGUGUCUUGUAGUAUUUCUUCAACUUAGAGAAAAUAAUCCUUUAUUGUUUAUUCAUUAAGAUCAUGAUCCCACCCUGGACCAGGAGGACCCAGUCCUUGUUCAGGUAAGAAUACUGUAGGCCUAUCAAUAGUCUGGGUACCGGUCGGUUUCUGCUCUCUUGCCAAUUCCAUUGUGGCAAAAUGAUAUUUGCAUGACAAUCCCAUAAGAAGUUGUCAGAGAGCUGAAACCACCUGGCACCCAGGCUAUAACAAUACUGCUUCAUUAUCAGGACUGGUUCAAUAACAAUCUGACAUUCAAACUGUAAUUUUACUGACUUGAAAAUGGAUCCUGAUUUAUUCCUUAGGUUGUGGAUGAGGAGGUUGGGCACCGUCCCUGUCUGGCUUUAGUCCCUUGGUCUGGACCUCUGUGGGUUCCCAGCUCUGUAAGUCCAACAGUACUGAUACUCUCUUGUCUUCACUCUGGUCUAUAGACUGGUUUAUGUAACUUAAACACAGACAUGACGUUUUCUGAAGAACAAUAUGGGAAUACAUUUCUGUAAACAUAUUCCAUAUUUUUUACAACUACAGCUGACUUAUUACCUUACCCUUGCUGGGAGGAUGAUAGUGAGAGAGCUGGCAGUGUUAAACACACAGGUAACCAUGCAGAUUAUUGGACAACAAUCAUCUUAUCUAAUAGGCAUGAUUACCUUCAGUAUCCACUAUGGUGGUAAAAUACUUAGUUGUCCGUUCCCUCAUUUUCUCACAGAUUUUCAUGAUGGAGCAGCCUAUUUCCAUCUGUUUCACUCCUGUAGGGAGGAUGGGACUCUUAAAUUGAUCCUGUCUUGUUCCUUAGUAUGUGGAUGA